GGGUGGUUAGCUCAGCAGAAGAGUAUGGUGUGUUACUCCCUCACACGGGAAGGGUCAUAGGUUCAAAUCCUAUACCACCCA
rnacentral:tRNA from 1 species